rnacentral:lncRNA from 1 species
UUCAAAAGUUUCGUCUCUAGGGACAUAAACUGGAUGAGGUUUCUCUAUUCGACUCUCUGCUAGUGGAUCUGUCAGCAUCCAAAGAUCAAGAAAAAAGGUAUGUCACAGAAUUGAGGCACGAAAAUUUUUCUCCUCAACAGAUUUCUCAGUACCUGUUUUAGUUGGACUUCUACCAGUCCGACAACGCCUAGGAUAAGGUCUCUCUUUGCCACCUAUCAGUGGCCUAGCAAGAUCCUCACUUUUGUCGGGAUUUCCUAAAUCAUUAUAAACAUCAUAAUCAUAGAUUCGUUCAUGUAGCUUCCUCUCGCCUUUCCCAGUUCCACGAAUGAUCAACAAGUCUUCACGUCGAAGAUCCUUGAUGCCAGGUGGUGUUUCAGAUGGUAGAUAUGCCUGCUAAUGCAGGAGCAUCCUUGAUCAAGCACCAAUAUCUGCUUUACAAAAUGAAAAGUAAAAAUCAUUUAAAAGUAUCGCUUACCUGAUUUUGGAAGAUAAUUCUACUCUCUGGAUUAUCUUUUCGAGAAUGAAUCCAUGUAUUAGCACUAAAGAAUAUAGGGCCUUCAUUAAAGUUAUGAACAACAAUCUGCACUAAGUGUAUCUCUUUGUCAAGGAAAUUGGUAAUAAUGAUAGCUCCAGGACGUCCAAAAUCGCGUGGUACUCUGAAAUUGGCAGCAUAUUCAACUAUAUAUGGAUGGUCAGAAGGCUUGGACAACCAACCUCGCACAUAAGAUUCCGCAAUCUUUCCCGACUUGGUAACUGUGAGCAGAAAACAGUGUUAGUACUCCAUUAACCUUAGAAUACUACUCAUGUAAAAGUGUCAAGUGGAAUGGAAUUGAUGCCCUAUAGUCCAUUCCAUCAGUCACAAUAAAUGGAUUCAUUAUGCACUAAGUGCUGUGUUGCCAGUUAAAGUUUUCACUACAGGAAACAAGACAAAUGAACUAAAAGGCAUCCAGAAAAGCUAAACAAUAAAAAGUAUAAGGAAAAAGGCGCAAAAAGAAUGAACGACAAUAUAUUCCAUCUCAUGCACCAGGUGUUUACACCAACCCAUAUUAACUUAUCAUGGUUAAGUGACUGAACAGGUCAGUGUGUAUAUUAAUUAACCAUAGUGCGGUAAGUGCGGGUAAUUUGUUUCCUUCAUGUUGCUCCCCCAUCCGCUUUAUGUUAUUCCAUGGUGGUUGACAAAGAUAGAGAGUUACAUGCGUACCUCCGUACAUUCUACUAUAUACAUGAUAUACAACAUCGUAUACAUAUAUUUUCUGUAGUCUAGCAACUUGGUCAGUGAGAUGUUGUUAUUGCCUGGCCACUUGGUCAGUGAGAGAUACUAUUGCCUGACCUUAUGGUUAGUGAGAGUUUAUAUUUGCUUGGCCUUACAGUCAGUGAGAGUUUACUGUUGCCUGUCCACUUGGUCGGCGAGAGAUACUAUUGCCUGGACUUAUAGUUAUUGAGAGUUUAUAUUUUCCUGGCCUUUUGGUUAGUGAGAGUUUAUUAUUAUGGCAAACAAAUCAUAAGCAUCUAUUAGUCAUGUGCAAACAUCUAAGUGCGGGUAAUUUGUUUCCUUCAUGUUGCUCCCCCGGCCCCCCCAAAGAAGCAAAAUAAUUUUUUGAGAAGAUUGAAGGUUUUCUCUUAGUUCUUUUUCUUUGUACUCCUAGUUUGGAGUGCAAGAUAGGGGGGAGGGGGGUUGCUAUAGUACUUGCUUUAGUCAAUGAACCAAACCAAACCAUACCUAUUACCAGCAGUCUAGACAGUUGGAAAUAAAGUUGAGAAAUUAGAUCAAAAGAAAAAGAUAAAAUAGAACUCAACUCAUACAAUAAUAAAGUCAAAGAAUCAGAAACCAAAGACACUACCAACGCAACAAGUAAAGUUUAUGCAGAGAGAUUUGUAUAUCCAAGAAAAAUUACAAACCAGGAUCAAUGUCUUCACUAAUGAGCUGAAUCAAGAUUCCCCUUCCAAUCCCAUUCAUAAAAGACUCCCACUGAUCUUCAAUCUUGUCUGUGAUUUUCUCCUUCAUUUUCUUCCUCAAAGUGAUCACUGCUCUCACAUCAAGAUUCCCACUUUUGCCAGAAGAAACCAAUUUCUCCACCAAGUUUGUAGUCUUUUUGUUAUUCCCACUUUGGAUCACAGCUUUAACUUGUGAUGUACUUCUUUUUGACAUCAAUUUCCUCCGGCCGCCGGUGAUGAUCUCCGGUGCCCGGACCUUAAGGACAUGUUGGAUUUCUGAGCUGAGUGCAGUGGAUCUUGAUUGAGCUGUAAGCAUCAUUGGAAUUAUUGACACCCCCACCUAUGUUGAAAAUUCAAGACUAUGAGAUGAUCAAAUGAAUUAUAAUUGUGUAGAUAUUAUGUAUAGAGGGUGUGACACAUUUGAGAUAUAUUUUUCCAACAAACUUGUUAGUACUACAUACAGUUUUAUUGAGUCAUUUAAGUAGCAGUCGUAUGUGAUGUGUCAUAAGAUAUAUUUUUGAAUAUUCAAUGACUCAACUGGAUCAUCAUCCACUAUUUUUAAGUCCUUUUCCGUCGAGUCGAGGUGUAUCCGAAAUAGUCUCUUUACCUCCUUGAGGUAAGGGUAAGAUAUGUAUAUAUUUUACCUUCCUCAUAUUUCACUUGUGACAUUUUACUGGAUUGUUGUUGUUAUUGUUGUUGUACUGUUACAACAAAGAUAACUAACACCUUUAGAGGAAUGGGCUUUCAUGAUCAUUUACAAUAUUGAAAUUAAGAAAAUGUUCUCUUGUGUGCAAAAGUAAAUGUCUUAUGUGUAAAAAAAAAAAAAAUAGGAUCAAAAAACUAAAAACAAAUUUGUAAAGACUCACGAACAACAAUUUAUUUCUAAGCAAGUUAAAAUUGGGUUCAUGUUACUUUAUUAAGCAAAAAGUAAAUGAUAUAACUUCUAAUUUUAAUCAAGUAGGUUAAAGUCAGCAUAACCGGCUUCAAAUUCGAAUAUACAAGACUUGUGUUAAUUUUAUAUAUUCCACUCAUACCAAAUUUAAAAUUAAGGUAUUUGAUAAAAUGCAGGAGCGGGGGUAGGUGGAGACAUCAUAUCAAUUUGAAUGGACCAUGUCACUAAUUGUGGCUAUGGAUUUUCUUUUCUGUACAUCUUGUUAAAACUGUGGCUAUAGAUGCAAAUAAAAAUAAUGAAGCAUUGUGCAGCUGAAUGUCAUUUAUGUCCAAUUCCUUUAAAUGUGGCAAUUAUUUCCAUUGAUACUGUGGCAAGCUUAUUGGGGCAUGUGAAGUGGAAGAUGCAUGUGGUGGACCUGCUUAGAUUUUGGGUAUCAUUUUAAUUACAGAUUUGUUUUUUGCUAAGAUUAAUUACGGAUGUUUCUAUUGGUGAACCCUCCACUUCCAACCAAGAGGUUGUGAGUUCGAGUCACCCAAGAGCAAGGUGGAGAGUUUUUGAAGAGAUGGAGUCGAGGGUCUAUCGAAAACAGUCUCUUUACCCCAAGAUAGAGAUAAAAUCUGUGUACACACUACCUUCCCCAAACUCCAUUAUACUAAGUUGUAAUUACAUAUGCUUCUAGUCUUUAAUGUUAAACCAGCCUACUUUUCAACCUCCACCUAACUCCCGAACA